AGUGUGCUGGAAUCGCCUAGAGUUUGAUCCUGGCUCAGGAUGAACGCUGACAGAAUGCUUAACACAUGCAAGUCGACUCGAGUCUUCGGACUUGGGUGGCGCACGGGUGAGUAACGCGUAAAGAACUUGCCUCUUAGACCGGGACAACAUCUGGAAACGGAUGCUAAUACCGGAUAUUAUGGUUUUUUCGCAUGGAGGAAUCAUGAAAGCUAGAUGCGCUAAGAGAGAGCUUUGCGUCCCAUUAGCUGGUUGGUGAGGUAACGGCCCACCAAGGCAAUGAUGGGUAGCCGGCCUGAGAGGGUGAACGGCCACAAGGGGACUGAGACACGGCCCUUACUCCUACGGGAGGCAGCAGUGGGGAAUAUUGGACAAUGGACCACAAGUCUGAUCCAGCAAUUCUGUGUGCACGAUGACGUUUUUCGGAAUGUAAAGUGCUUUCAGUCGGGAAGAAGUCAGUGACGGUACCGACAGAAGAAGCGACGGCUAAAUACGUGCCAGCAGCCGCGGUAAUACGUAUGUCGCAAGCGUUAUCCGGAUUUAUUGGGCGUAAAGCGCGUCUAGGCGGCAAGGAAAGUCUGAUGUGAAAAUGCGGAGCUCAACUCCGUAUGGCGUUGGAAACUGCCUUACUAGAGUACUGGAGAGGUAGGCGGAACUACAAGUGUAGAGGUGAAAUUCGUAGAUAUUUGUAGGAAUGCCGAUGGGGAAGCCAGCCUACUGGACAGAUACUGACGCUAAAGCGCGAAAGCGUGGGUAGCAAACAGGAUUAGAUACCCUGGUAGUCCACGCUGUAAACGAUGAUUACUAGGUGUUGGGGGUCAAACCUCAGCGCCCAAGCUAACGCGAUAAGUAAUCCGCCUGGGGAGUACGUACGCAAGUAUGAAACUCAAAGGAAUUGACGG
rnacentral:rRNA from 1 species